rnacentral:rRNA from 1 species
UCGGUCCAUGAGUAUAUGCGCAAGCUAAUACUAACUUAGAUUUCCAGGCUAUGGCAUCAACGUUGAGCUUCCCAAUGUCGACUUGCAGGCGGCCGGAUCCAUAGUGAUACACUAUUUAUUGGCUUAAACGUCGUAGCGUUUAUUAAUGCUGGUAAUCGUGUAGCCUAAACUUAUACGAAUUUCCGGGUAGAACUGAUAGACUUGAGACCGGAGAAGCUAGAGGUACUCCUGGGGGUAGAGUGAAAUUCUUGUAAUCCUGGGGGGACCACCAGUGGCCGAAGGCCGUCUAGCUAGAACGGGUCUGACGGUGAGGAACGAAGCCCUGGGGCGCAAACCGGAUUAGAUACCCGGGUAGUCCAGGGUGUAAACGCUGCUUGCUUGAUGUUAGUUGGGCUCCGAGCCCAAUUAGUGUCGGAGAGAAGUUGUUAAGCAAGCUGCCUGGGAAGUACGAUCGCAAGAUUGAAACUUAAAGGAAUUGGCGGGGGAGCACAGCAACGGGUGGAGCGUGCGGUUUAAUUGGAUUCAACGCCGGAAAACUCACCGGAGGCGACGGUUACAUGAAGGCCAGGCUGAUGACCUUGCCUGAUUUUCCGAGAGGUGGUGCAUGGCCGCCGUCAGUUCGUACCGUAAGGCGUUCUGUUAAGUCAGAUAACGAACGAGACCCUCCUCUCUAAUUGCUACUAUUAAGUCCGCUUAAUAGGCACAUUAAAGAAACCGCUGGCGAUAAGUCAGAGGAAGGCGAGGGCAACGGUAGGUCAGUAUGCCCUGAAUCCUCCGGGCUACACGCGCGCUACAAAGGCUAGGACAAUGAGCUUCAACACCGAGAGGUGAAGGUAAUCUCGAAACCUAGUCAUAGUUCGGAUUGAGGGUUGAAACUCACCUUCAUGAAGCUGGAAUCCGUAGUAAUCGCAGAUCAACAUCCUGCGGUGAAUAUGCCCCUGCUCCUUGCACACACCGCCCGUCAAACCAUGCGAGUUGGGCCUGAGUGAGGAUGUAGUUCUUGCUACGUUCAAACUUAGACUUAGUAAGCGGGGUUAAGUCGUAACAAGGUAGCCGU